rnacentral:rRNA from 1 species
ACAUCUUCGGAUGAGAGCGUACGACAGGUGCUGCAUGGCUGUCGUCAGCUCGUGUCGUGAGAUGUUGGGUAAAGUCCCGCAACGAGCGCAACCCUACUUGCUAGUUACCAUCAUUAAGUUGGGGACUCUAGCGAGACUGCCAGUGAUAAACUGGAGGAAGGUGGGGAUGACGUCAAAUCAUCAUGCCCCUUAUGACCUGGGCUACAAACGUGAUACAAUGGCUGGAACAAAGGGAUGCGAAGCAGUGAUGUGGAGCGAAACCCAUAAAAACAGUCUCAGUUCGGAUUGAAGUCUGCAACUCGACUUCAUGAAGUCGGAAUCGCUAGUAAUCGCGGAUCAGAACGCCGCGGUGAAUACGUUCUCGGGGUUU